UACGGGGGGGGCAAGCGUUGUUCGGAAUUACUGGGCGUAAAGGGCUUGUAGGCGGCCAACUAAGUCAGACGUGAAAUCCCUCGGCUUAACCGGGGAACUGCGUCUGAUACUGGAUGGCUUGAGUUCGGGAGAGGGAUGCGGAAUUCCAGGUGUAGCGGUGAAAUGCGUAGAUAUCUGGAGGAACACCAAUAGCGAAGGCAGCUCGCUGGGACGGUACUGACGCUAAGGCGCGAAAGCGUGGGGAGCGAACAGG
rnacentral:rRNA from 1 species